AUUGAACGCUGGCGGCAGGCCUAACACAUGCAAGUCGAUCGAGCGGCGGACGGGGGAGUAAUGUAUGGGGACUGCCCGAUAGAGGGGGAUAACUACUGUAAACGGUAGCUAAUACCGCAUACUAUCGGAUAACCCAUAUGUGGUUAGCUAGUAGGUGAGGUAAUGGCUCACCUAGGCGACGCUCCCUAGCUGGUCUGAGAGGAUGAUCAGCCACACUGGGACUGAGACACGGCCCAGACUCCUACGGAGGCAGCAGUGGGGAAUAUUGCACAAUGGGCGCAAGCCUGAUGCAGCCAUGCCGCGUGUAUGAAGAAGGCCCUAGGGUUGUAAAGUACUUUCAGUCGGGAGGCGUUACCGGCAGAAGAAGCACCGGCUAACUCCGUGCCAGCAGCCGCGGUAAUAC
rnacentral:rRNA from 1 species